rnacentral:rRNA from 1 species
GUGAACGCUGGCGGUAGGCCUAACACAUGCAAGUCGAACGGCAGCACAGUAAGAGCUUGCUCUUACGGGUGGCGAGUGGCGGACGGGUGAGGAAUACAUCGGAAUCUACUUUUUCGUGGGGGAUAACGUAGGGAAACUUACGCUAAUACCGCAUACGACCUACGGGUGAAAGCAGGGGAUCUUCGGACCUUGCGCGAUUGAAUGAGCCGAUGACGGAUUAGCUGGUUGGCGGGGUAAAGGCCCACCAAGGCGACGAUCCGUAGCUGGUCUGAGAGGAUGAUCAGCCACACUGGAACUGAGACACGGUCCAGACUCCUACGGGAGGCAGCAGUGGGGAAUAUUGGACAAUGGGCGCAAGCCUGAUCCAGCCAUACCGCGUGGGUGAAGAAGGCCUUCGGGUUGUAAAGCCCUUUUGUUGGGAAAGAAAAGCAGCAGGUUAAUACCCCGCUGUUCUGACGGUACCCAAAGAAUAAGCACCGGCUAACUUCGUG